rnacentral:snRNA from 1 species
GUACUCACUAUGGCAGCAUAUAUAUUAAAAUUGGACCCAUACAGAGAAGAUUAGCAUGGUACCUGUGCAAAAUUCAUGAAGCAUUCCAYAUAUUU